GAUGAACGCUAGCGGCAGGCCUAAUACAUGCAAGUCGAGGGGUAACAGGAAGUGCUUGCACUUCGCUGACGACCGGCGCACGGGUGAGUAUCGCGUAUACAAUCUGCCUCAUACUAGGGAAUAGCCCGAAGAAAUUUGGAUUAAUGCCCUAUAGUAUCUUUUUAAGGCAUCUUAUUAAGAUUAAAGGUUACGGUAUGAGAUGAGUAUGCGUUCUAUUAGCUAGUAGGUGUGGUAACGGCACACCUAGGCUACGAUAGAUAGGGGCCCUGAGAGGAAGAUCCCCCACACUGGCACUGAGACACGGACCAGACUCCUACGGGAGGCAGCAGUAAGGAAUAUUGGUCAAUGGGCGCAAGCCUGAACCAGCCAUGCCGCGUGCAGGAAGAAGGCCCGUAAGGUUGUAAACUGCUUUUAUAGGAGAACAAACCCCUCCGGCGGGAGGGUCUGAGGGUAUCCUAAGAAUAAGCACCGGCUAACUCCGUGCCAGCAGCCGCCGUAAGA
rnacentral:rRNA from 1 species